UUCCUGUAAAACAAUCCUGAGUUCCAGGAAGAAACACACCCAGCUAACACAUUGCUUGUUUGCUUCCUCAAGGCCAGAAGGAGUGUUUCUUUCUCCAGUCUGCUAACACAGAGUCUUAUAUAAGGAAACAAAGCAAGAAAACAGCAACAAUAACAAUGGCAGUGUGGUUCACUGAGUAUGUGCCCAGGGCAUGAAAGAGAAGAGCACAAUUUCCCUGACAGAGCUGAGAUUGUGUUCUGCUUACUUCUGUGGGAAUCGGGGAACAGGCUAAAUUGAAUCAGGACACAGAAGAGAAUAUUCUCGAGAUAAACGUCAGUAGUUAAAGG
rnacentral:lncRNA from 10 species